UUGGUUAUGUUAUUAUUCUUCGUUGGUUCGUUUAAUGAAAAACACUUUGCUACAAGAAAUAAUGGAAAUUUUAUAACGAAUUUAAUAAAAUGUUUUUAUCAUUAUAAAUAAAGAAUUAAUGGCAAGAACAAGUUUUAUACAACCUCAACUCAUAUGGGACUACCCCCUGAAUUUAAGCAUAUUAAUUAGGGGAGGAAAAGAAACUAACAAGGAUUUUCUUAGUAGCGGCGAGCGAAAAGAAAACAGUUCAGCACUAAGUCACUUUGUCUAUAUGGCAAAUGUGAGAUGCAGUGUAUGGAGCGUCAAUAUUCUAGUAUGAGAAAUUAACGAUUUAAGUCCUUCUUAAAUGAGGCCAUUUACCCAUAGAUGGUGCCAGGCCCGUAUAACGUUAAUGAUUACUAGAUGAUGUCUCCAUCUAAAACUAAAUAUAACCAUGAGACCGAUAGUAAACAAGUACCGUGAGGAAAAUUGAAAAGAAUAGAGAGUGCGUUAAUUAUUCGGAAUAUAAUGGCAUAAUUAUCAUUGAUUUUUGGGUUUAUUAUAUGAUAUUUAUUGUAUGAUUAACAAUGCGAAAGAUUCAGGAUACCUUCGGGACCCGUUUUGAAACACGGACCAAGGAGUCUAACAUAUGUGCAAGUUAUUGGGAUAUAAACCUAAUAGCGUAAUAAGGAUUAGUUUUUUAACUAUUUAUAGCUAAUUAACACAAUCCCGGGGCGUUCUAUAUAGUUAUGUAUAAUGUUUAUUUAUAUUAUUUAUGCCUCUAACUGGAACGUACCUUGAGCAUAUAUGCUGUGAGCCGAAAGAUGGUGAACUAUACUUGAUCAGGUUGAAGUCAAGGGAAACCCUGAUGGAAGACCGAAACAGUUCUGACGUGCAAAUCGAUUGUCAGAAUUGAGUAUAGGGGCGAAAGACCAACCGAACCAUCUAGUAGCUUGUUCCUUCCGAAGUUUCGUUCAGGAUAGCUGGUGCAUUUUAAUAUUAUAUAAAAUAAUCUUAUCUGGUAAAGCGAAUGAUUAGAGCCCUUAGGGUCGAAACGAUCUUAACCUAUUCUCAAACUUUAAAUAGGUAAGUACCUUAACUUUCAUGAUAUGAAGUUCAAGGUUAUUAUAUAAUGUGCCCAGUGGACCACUUUUGGUAAGUUACGGUGCCCAAAUUAACAACUCAUGCAGAUACCAUGAAAGGCGUUGGUUGCUUAAAACAGCAGGACGGUGAUCAUGGCAGUCGAAAUCCGCUAAGGAGUGUGUAACAACUCACCUGCCGAAGCUAGCCCUUAAAAUGGCUGGCGCUUAAGUUGUAUACCUACACAUUACCGCUAAAGUAGAUGAUUUAUAUUACUUGUGAUAUAAAUUUUGAAACUUUAGUGAGUAGGAAGGUACAAUGGUAUGCGUAGAAGUGUUUGGCGUAAGCCUUCAUGGAGCUGCCAUUGAUACAGAUCUUGGUGGUAGUAGCAAAUAAUCGAAUGAGAUUUUGGAGGACUGAAGUGGAGAAGGGUUUCGUGUGAACAGUGGUUGAUCACGAGUUAGUCGGUCUUAAGCUUUAGGCGAAAGCCGAAAAUUUCAAGUAAAACAAAAAUGCCAAAUUAUAUAAACAAAGCGAAAAUUAUACACUUGAAUAAUUUUGAACGAAAGAGAAUACGUGUCCAAUUCCGUAACCUGUUAUUAAAUAUGGGCCUCGUGCUCAUCCUGGCAACAGGAACGACCAUAAAGAAGCCGUCGAGAGAUAUCGGAAGAGUUUUCUUUUCUGUUUUAUAGCCGUACUACCAUGGAAGUCUUUCGCAGAGAGAUAUGGUAGAUGGGCUAGAAGAGCCACCGCGGACCUUGAAAAUUUAUGGUGGGGACACGCAUACUUCUCAUCAGGCCAAUAUCCGCAGCUGGUCUCCAAGGUGAAGAGUCUCUAGUCAAUAGAAUAAUGUAGGUAAGGGAUGUCGG
rnacentral:rRNA from 1 species